UAGAAGUCAUUUUUUUCAUUUUUAUAAGAUAUAUAAAUAGAAAUCCAUGCAUAACUUUAAUAAAUGUAUUGCCGACACAGCAAAUGAGGUGUAAAAUACAGAAGAGCUACUUUGUAAUAAUAUUCAUUAAUACUUCAGUUAAAUCAACAGACUAUGAAGGAAGGAGAAAGCAGGGGAAAUAUAAAAUGCUUCCUUUGAUGCUGGAUCAGAUUCUCUCUUGGACUUCAAGAUCCUAGCACCUCUUCUGCUAUUAGCUCCAACUGAUGAUGAGCUACAUCUGGCCUGUGAAAUGAAAACAGCAAAACCUUUGAUUCCAUCCAAGUGAAGUAGAUCUUCAGCAUCUGCUCAGUCAACAUUUGCCAGGAUAGAUGAUACCCUGUCAAAACUUUGAUCAUUUCAGAAGUAGAAUUCCAUUUUUUUAGACUACAUUUUCAAUAUGUUGAAAAUAUGAGAAUAUCUACCACUUUACAUAAGGAAUAUCCCAGCUUCUUUUUAUGUAUAUUCUUAAGCUUAACAAAUGUAAAGGAGAAAGAGUAUAAAUCGUUUAGUUGAAAAAUCUGGAGAAACCAUUAUUUAUUUGUAAGAACUACCCUCUCUAGAAUCUCCCCUUGCCUUCUUUCACCUAACCUCCAUGCAUGCUUAUCUUUAUCCUUUUGUCACUUCUCUUGUGCCUGUAGCCUCUUCUUCUGCAAUCCUUCCUUUUUGCGCAGCCUAACUUUCUGUCUUCCAUGACCCAAUGUAUUUUGUAUGCUCAGCAUCUUUCAAUACAUCUGCUACUUGACUCUCUCUUUCAUUCACCCACCCACUGUAUAUUCUUAAUCUCUGCCUGUUCCACUCAAACUAAAUAUUACAUGCCUC